UGGGGAAUAUUGGACAAUGGGGGCAACCCUGAUCCAGCAAUGCCGCGUGUGUGAAGAAGGUCUUCGGAUUGUAAAGCACUUUCGACGGGGACGACGAUGACGGUACCCGUAGAAGAAGCCCCGGCUAACUUCGUGCCAGCAGCCGCGGUAAUACGAAGGGGGCUAGCGUUGCUCGGAAUGACUGGGCGUAAAGGGCGUGUAGGCGGUUUACACAGUCAGAUGUGAAAUCCCCGGGCUUAACCUGGGAGCUGCAUUUGAUACGUGUAGACUAGAGUGUGAGAGAGGGUUGUGGAAUUCCCAGUGUAGAGGUGAAAUUCGUAGAUAUUGGGAAGAACACCGGUGGCGAAGGCGGCAACCUGGCUCAUGACUGACGCUGAGGCGCGAAAGCGUGGGGAGCAAACAGGAUUAGG
rnacentral:rRNA from 1 species